UACGUAGGGGGCAAGCGUUGUCCGGAAUCAUUGGGCGUAAAGCGCGUGUAGGCGGUUCGAUAAGUCUGCUGUGAAAGUCCAGGGCUCAACCCUGGGAUGCCGGUGGAUACUGUCGAGCUAGAGUACGGAAGAGGCGAGUGGAAUUCCCGGUGUAGCGGUGAAAUGCGCAGAUAUCGGGAGGAACACCAAUUGCGAGGCAGCUCGCUGGGACGUCGACUGACGCUAAGACGCGAAAGCGUGGGGAGCAAACA
rnacentral:rRNA from 1 species